rnacentral:rRNA from 1 species
CCUACGGGUGGCUGCAGUGGGGGAUAUUGCACAAUGGGGGAAACCCUGAUGCAGCGAUGCCGCGUGGGCGAAGAAGUACUUCGGUAUGUAAAGUCCUAUCAGCAGGGAAGAAGGAAUGACGGUACAUGCCUUAGAAGCACCGGCUAAAUAGGUGCCAGCAGCCGCGGUAAUACGGAGGGUGCAAGCGCUGUCCGGAUUUACUGGGUGUAAAGGGAGCGCAGGCGGCACGGUAAGCCUGAUGUGAAAGCCCGGGGCUCAACCGGGGAACUGCAUUGGGAACUACCGAGCUUGAGUCCCGGAGAGGUAGGCAGAAUUCCUAGUGUAGCGGUGAAAUGCGUAGAGAUUAGGAGGAACACCAGUGGCGAAGGCGGCCUACUGGACGGUGACUGACGCUGAGGCUCGAAAGCGUGGGGAGCAAACAGGAUUAGAUACCCCUGUAGUC